rnacentral:rRNA from 1 species
UACAGAGGCCUCGAGCGUUAGGCGGAAUCACUGGGCUUAAAGCGUGUGUAGGUGGAUGCCUAAGUGCCUUGUGAAAUCCCAUGGCUUAACCAUGGAAUUGCUUGGCAUACUGGGUGUCUUGAGCCACUCAGGGGCUACUGGAACAAACGGUGGAGCGGUGAAAUGCGUAGAUAUCGUAAGGAAGACCAGUGGCGAAGGCGGGUCUCUGGACAGUUCCUGACGCUGAGGCACGAAGGCCAGGGGAGCAAACGGG